CGAAGCGGCCCCGCGGGACACUCACCUACGGCGGUCCGCGCCGCGGAGACGAUGACCACGGGGUCCGAGCCUGCGUUCAUCCUGCGGCUCCGCUUCCGGCCAGCCAGCUGUCAGCCAGGCGCCGUGUACGACUGAGUUACUGCAUAGCCAUCAUGUUUGAUCGCCCCCAGCUCUAGUCUCCAAAUUUUGGCACAGCAACCUCCAAGACUGUCCUCCUCACUCAGAAACAUUUCUCAAGUGUCUACAUGUUCUAGAAGGGGAAUUUUUCGGAGGUGGCCUCUUCUUCGGAAUAGUCCGACGGCAUCAGGCCUCUGAAGCAAGGGGAAGGGGAAGAGAAAAGCUGAAACACAAGGUUCAUCUGUGUCUCAUGUACCUCUGGUUGGCUUCAAACUCACUGCAAAGUUGAAAAUGACCUUUGGCUUCUCUGUUUGUGUCCAUCUCAAGUGCUGGGAUACAGAAACCCCAGAUGACAUGGUUGGGGAUGGAACUCAAGCCCUUAUGGAUUCUUGACAAGCAUUCUACCAAUAAAGCUACAUCCCUGGCACCUAAAAUUUAA